GUUGUAGGCCUCUCCAGCACU
rnacentral:miRNA from 1 species